rnacentral:rRNA from 1 species
UGGGGAAUCUUCCGCAAUGGACGAAAGUCUGACGGAGCAACGCCGCGUGAGUGAAGAAGGUUUUCGGAUCGUAAAACUCUGUCUUUUGGGGCGAACGUGAGUAUGGUGAACAAUCAUAGUCAGUGACGGUACCAAAGGAGGAAGCCACGGCUAACUACGUGCCAGCAGCCGCGGUAAUACGUAGGUGGCAAGCGUUGUCCGGAAUUAUUGGGCGUAAAGAGCGCGUAGGCGGGAUAGUCAGUCUGUUGUAAAGUGCGGGGCUCAACCCCGUGAUCGCAAUGGAAACAGCUAUUCUUGAGUGCAGGAGAGGAAAGUGGAAUUCCCAGUGUAGCGGUGAAAUGCGUAGAUAUUGGGAGGAACACCAGUGGCGAAGGCGACUUUCUGGACUGUGUCUGACGCUGAGGCGCGAAAGCCAGGGGAGCGAACCGGGAUUUAGAUACCCCGGUAGUCCUGGCCGUAAACGAUGGGUACUAGGUGUGGGAGGUAUCGACCCCUUCCGUGCCGGAGUUAACGCAAUAAGUACCCCCGCCUGGGGAGUACGGUCGCAAGACUGAAACUCAAAGGAAUUGACGGGGUCAUAGCUGUUUCCUG